ensembl:lncRNA
GUGACUCCAAGAUGCUGCCAGUUUGCUUGGUCUUGGGGCUUCUUGGAAGAGUUGGUAGUUUUCUGUUUUCUUUCUUUCUUUUUAUUCUUUCUUUUUUCAGUCUUUGAGGCGGCUUGGAGAAAGCUGGUAGCUUCCUAUACGUAUAUAUUUUAAAAUCCUCUGUUCUUUCCUUUCCAUUAUUUCUAUGCAAUGAGAAAAGCUCAGGUAGUCGGAAAUGGCUUUUUCUUUCUCUUUCAGCUUGGGGUACCCUCUUCAGCCCUUGAGGUCUGUCUACACACCCUUAUUUCAGAGAGAAUCUGUGGCAUUGAGAAAGACCACACUGCCUGGGUUCAGAUCCUUAGUAAUGAUUGUGGCAGCAGGUUCUAGUGUGGUCCUGCCUCCUGGUAUUCACACCACGGUAUUCCCUCCCUUUAAGUGUGAGCUGGACCUGGUCACUUGCUCCUAAAGAAUAGAAUACUGCAUAAGUGAUGAAAUGUUAAUUCUGAGAAUAGGCUAAAAGAAACCAUGAAUUCCUUCUUGUUCUCUCUGCCUCUGCCUCUGCCUCUCUGUCUCUCUGUCUCUGUCUCUGUCUCUGUCUCUGUCUCUCUCUCUCUCUCUCACCUGCACACUUGGAGGGAGAAAGCUGCUAUAUUGGAGAUCCCCUCCAGAGUGCUCUUCCUGUCUUCAACCAGAUCCAGCAUCCUGAACUUCAAAGUAUCAUCUGGAUUGAACAGCCAGUACAAGACCCUCGGUCCUACAAUCUGCGAGAAAUCGAAUUCUGCCAGCAAGCAAUUCACAGACGUGGAAACUGAGAAUCAGAGAAGAAUGAACUUUGCCUAAGGUCACCCAACGAAUUCAUGGCAAGGCUGGGAUUCCCAAGCCUGGAGCUCCUGAGCUAUUUCCCCUGCUUUGGCACCAUCUGAAACAUCUGUGAAAUGGGCACAAUCAAAAGUGGCUAUCUGUGAAUAAAGUCAUUGUCCCCAUCCAACAGAAGGUGAUAUAUAUCUUUAAUAAUGAAUAAAAAGGCCAGGCACGGUGGCUCAAGUCUGUAAUCCCAGCACUUUGGGAGGCCGAGACGGGCGGAUCACAAGGUCAGGAGAUCGAGACCAUCCUGGCUAACACGGUGAAACCCCGUUUCUACUAAAAAACAUACAAAAAACUAUCCGGGUGAGGUGGCGGGCGCCUGUAGUCCCAGCUACUCCAGAGACUGAGGCAGGAGAAUGGCGUAAACCCGGGAGGCAGAGCUUGCAGUGAGCUGGGAUCCGGCCACUGCACUCUAGCCUGGGCGACAGAGCGAGACUCCGUCUCAAAAAAAAAAAAAAAAAAAAAUAAUAAUAAUGAAUAAAAAGCCAGACUCUAGUGUGAAGGGAUGAAAAUAAACAUUCAUCCAGCUCCUAAUGUAUACCAGGAUGGUUCUCAUGUUAAUUUAUACUAACUUGUUCUUCUGUAUGUUCCCCACAUUCUACAAGGUGGGGAUGAUCUUUUCAUUUCACAGACGGGGAAGCAGACUCAGAGAGGUUGAUGGAGUCCGCAUUGUGGCAAGUGGCAGAGCUGGCAUACGAGCCUGAACCUAUCCUGAUCUGAGGACCUCUUCACUGUGGCGAGUAGCAGAGCUGGCACACGAACCUGAACCUGUCCUGAUCUGAGGACCUCCUCUCGCCAUCGCUCCUUUCUGCUCCAUGCUAAUGAGGCACAUUUAGCGUUCUUUCAAACCCUGCUCAGUCUGCAGAGGAGGUGCAUUAUCAAUACGGUUGACCCUCAGACAACGCAGGGAUUAAGGGUGCUGAGUCCCCAGCCACGCACAGACACAAAUCUGCAUAUAACUUUUUACUCCCCAAAACUUAACAACCAAUAGCCUAACGUUGACCCGAACCCUUACUGAGAGCAUAAACUGUGGGAUAAUACAGAUUUUGGAUGAUAACACAUGUUUUGGACAUCCUGCUUUAAAAUCUGCCCAACCUAGUGUUCCUGGCAGCCAUUACCAAUCUAUCACCAAACUUGGAUCAUGAGAUCCACAUUAUUUGCCUUUCCAGGUGUGAUCUGGAAACCAU